rnacentral:lncRNA from 1 species
AAGCUUCAUUUAUAAUUGUUUAAGGUUAAGUAAAACAAUCACAUAAAAUAAACAAUUCUAUGAUAACACUUAUAUUUUAUAUAAAAAUGAACAUAAACAGCAGCGACAUCAUGAACUUACAAAAAUAUAAAAGCAGUUAUGACACAUAAAAAUCAUUACUAUGUUUAUAUACAAGAUUAAUAAUGUUACCAACAUCUGUUGUCACCUGUUGUAAAGUACAUUAAAAUUCAAAAAUAUUCAUAUUUCUAUAGCAACCAAUAUUUCUAUCCUUUUAACCUAACACUGUUGUUAUUGAUCGCGAUAUUCAUUUGAUCAAUAUUUCCAUUGUUCAACGAUUCAUGUUGCCGUAAUGCACGUGUAAUAUUAUACAAGAACGAUCCGUUAUAGUUGGAUUUUCCUAUAAAAAUAAUAGAAACUGAUUCUGAUUUUUGAGCCACUAAUAUUUCUCCUUUAGCAUCCUGACCAAUGAAUCCUGUUUGUCCGGUUUUAUUACACUGAAAUAUAUUUCCAUCUACUCCAGUUAAUUUGAAAAUUGGUAUUUUGCUGCAAAUUGAUCUUUCCAUGGUACAUACCAAUUGAUUACACAAUAUUUCAUUAUAGCUGAGCUUCCCCUCACACAAAACGCAUCCUUCCACCUUUCCAAAUAUUGCAAAUGAUGUCAUACUAUCCAUGUUUACUAAAAACGAUUGUAGAAAUUGGUUGUCCAUGUUUUUGAUUUUGCAAAUUUUCAAUAAUACAACAAGGCUAUAUUUUAUGUUAUUAUACC